GAAAGCAUGCCCUGGAGUUAUGGUAAUAGGCAACUGAAAGUUAGUGAUGCAAUUGGGUGUGGUUGGCAGAACUGCUGAAACAGACCCAAGAGCCCUGCACAGCCCUGCAAUGUAGAUUGCUCACCUCUUAUCUAGGGAUUGUUCUGGCUCCCGAGGGAAAAAUAUAUGGUGGGCCCAGCCAGCCAGCCUGAUCUGUGCUGCAAAAAAAAAAAAAAGAAAAGAAAAGAAAAGAAAAAAAAAAGAAAAAGAAAAGAAGCCUUUUCUUCUAGAUACUAUGCUUCUUCUGGUUCUACCAGCAUUUUAAAAAGGAGAAUACAACCCCUGAGACAUCUUUCCAUCACGCUGCAACCUCCCUGGCUAGUCACACUCUCCAGGAUGAAAAACUUCAAAUGGAGUGUUCUCUUGUAAUGCCUUCCUUUGGGAAGUAUAUUGAACCCUGCCCAGGAUGUUGAAGAGAGGACAAUAUAAUGCAAGAUUACAUAGAUGCUGUUGAAUGGCAAAACAUGAAGAAGGAAGGAACCUAAAAAGGUGUCAAAGUUGAUACAAUUACCUUAAAAUUAAUGAACAAGAUUAUAGUGUGUGGCUCAGUGGAAUUUCCCAACCCUAGAGCAAACUGGAUUUUUCAAUUCAUGUUUCUCCUUGGAAUCUCAAGAGGGUGGGUUGGUCCCAAGAGCAUAUCCAAAUAGUUGCCAGAUAACUCUUUUCCAUUUUUGGUGUGAUUCAUGUUCUUUAAAUUUACACAAACAAUUGCAGGAAAUGGUGGCAUACAUUUAGAUAGAAACCACACCUCUGGUGGCGCAGUGGUUAAAGUGGAGUAUUUCAGGCAAACUCUGCCCACAGCCUGGAGUUCGAUCCUGAUGAUUCAAACUUCCAUCAUUCUGUGGUCGGUAAAUGAGGACCCAGAUUGUUGGGGGCAAUAUGCAAAUAAUACUCACAUUGUAAACCACCCAGAGACUGCUGCAAAGCACUAUGGGGCAUUAUAUAAGCCUAGAAAAGAGGCAUAAGUGCAGUCAGCCAUAUUAUAUAUGAAGCAGAGCAGUCAAAUAUAGGUUGGAAAAAAAAAUCUAAAUGCCCAGUAGAGUUAGAAUUCACUGCAUUGCUUUUCUACCAUUUAAUAUCAUUCAGACUUUUUGCAUGAAAUACCAGUACAGAAUAGAGCCUCUGAUCAUUUGCUGGGCAUUUGGGUUAGGAGGUUUCCUGGUACAUGAUCUGAAAACCUCAGUGAUUGGAUAGCUUUGUAUUUCUUGGAGUCUUAAAAAUGAUUUGCAUUUCAAAUGGAGGUGGCUGCCAUUUUAAGCUCUGUACAAAUCAAAAGGAGAAUAAAGUUUGCGAACAAAGUCACUUUCAUUUAGGAGAGGCGGUUGGGAAUGAUAAAUAUGGCUAUCGUUUUCACUUGAUAAUUGGGUAGAUUAUUAGAUUUGAAUCCUUGCGAUUGACUAACAAGUAACCCUUACAUUUAUUAAUAUUUCAGAAGCAUGAAUUAUUUUAAUGAGAGCACUUACUAAGCCUGUACAACACACACCAUCCACAAUUAAAUAAUAUUAGACUAAUCUUGCUAAUAUGCUGCUGUGGCCAUGUUAGCUGCGAGUAUCGGGAAUUGCUUUCUGAACAUACACAGGGACAUGAAAAAGCAUUUAAUAAUCUCAUUUGGGGAGGGUUCCAAUCUUUUUGGGUAAGGGGGAAUGUUUGGAAUUUUUAGAGCCUGUUCUGGUGUUGCUCCAAAAUGGUUACUAUCAUGGCUACAACUUACCACAAAAUACCCAUGCCCCAGAAUGUAAGCAAAACAGUUGGUUGCAACUCCUCCCCAUUUAUAUGGGACUCAGAGGCGUUAUUAGGGGGAAAGAGUAUGCUUGAGGCUGUUUUGCUUUCAGCAUGCAAAACUGCCACUCUGGUUUUUAAAGGAAAAGUU